ensembl:lncRNA
GCUGUGACCAGUGUGACAAGAGCUUCAGGAAUCUCAGUUCAUACUCCGAACACAAACGAUCCCACGUUACUAAUAAACUGUUUCACUGUUACCAAUGUGCCCAAACAUUCACCUCAUUGUCUGCUCUGUGCAAACAUCAGCGUGAUCACUCAGGGCUGAAAUCACUCCCAUCACUGGAUCACAGUGAAUCUGAAGAGACAGAAAGAUCCUCUGGUUUCAGUGUCAGACUCAAAAAGCUUGAGAUCAGGCUCCACAGAGUUCAGAUAGAAUCAUUUAAACUUGUGUUGAACUGAACUGGUUGCUGGGCUGAACUUCUACAUAAUACAGAUUUACAUGGGAUCUUAUUUUCUGUCGUUUUACUGAGUCAGUUUUGUCCUUUUUUCUCUGUCCUGGUUUUGCUCGUCUGUAAAUAAUUGAAACUCAGUCAAAUAGUUCAUUGUUCUCCAGCAAAACGUUUUGGAACCUCAUGUUUAACCUUUAAACUCUGACAUGUUUUAGCACACAAGGCUUCAUCGGGGAGUUCACUCAUGAUUGGACCAUGAGAAUAAAGGUUUUUAGUUCUUUCAAAGAGAGUCUUGGAGGUGUUUGAUGUUUCUGUUUUUUCUACAGAAAGGAAGAAACUAUUUUUCUUGCUUUGUGUAGUGUGGAAGUUUUUAAUGUUUCUUUCAUCUGUGAUGUUCUUGAUGUAACUAACAGUGAAGUGUUCCAAUGUUUUUCUUGUGUUUAUAUUUGUAAGUUUCCUUUAAUUGUGGAACUUUGUUUUGUAAUUGGUGGUAGCGGAAGUAACGUGCAGCACGGACUGAGUUUGUGGUGACACUAGAGCAGAGAAGCAUGGUGCUCUGUGAGUUCAGCUGCAUCGUCCUACUGCUUUAAACUGGACUUAAGUUUUAAAGAACACAUAAGUUAAGUUAAAUUAAACCCAAUUGUGGACUCACCGUUGAGAGGAGUAGCGGCUCGCGCGAAGAACGGACUUUCUCCCGUUUGGCUACAGCAGGCAAUGAGUUCUCACGAUGAUGAUGAUGAUGACGACGCUGAGUGAUCUUGUCGCCGAACAUUGAAUAAAUCAUCUGUAAACAAGAACUUGUCCGCGUGGUGGCUAACGGGAGCUACAC